AUAACUUCCAAAUGAACAUUACCAAAUACUUCCAGUGGAAAAAUGCUUAUGAUCUUUUGUGAAGUGUUCUGUGUCUCCAUGGCUAGCAACAGGCCUUUGAAACUUGACACCUUUUUGUUGGCUGUUUUGAGAACAAAACAAACAAACAAAAAAAAACCGAACAAAAAAAAAAACCAAAACAAAAAACCCACAAACGUUCAGACUGUAUGAAUUGUAAGCUAUUUUAAAAUCUUAUUUCUUGUCCUUGGUUCUCAUAUGUUUUGGCAAUAUCUCAGAAUCCUGCAAUAAUCUACAGAGCUUGUGGUUGUCUGUUGUCAGCAUUUACCCUUGGUGUGCUAUAUACUCCAGGUGGGACACACAGAGAAUAACUACCCUUCAACCUGGAAUAUCCUUUUGCUUGCAAGUACUGUCCACUGGGAGCAACAGAAUGAUGGUGCUACACUUCUUUUCCUGUCCAGGAAUAAUAUUUUUUGUCUUAUAAUAGAACUGUGCCUUUACACUGAACAGGCCAAACCAAGACAGAGUAUUGUCUACAGCUGGGGCAUCAGCCUACGUCUUUGGACAUGAUAGAAAGAAGGAAGAAUUGUGCAAUUAAUUGUUGCUAUGUUUUAAUUGUUCAACACGUCACUUAUUGGAUGAAAUUCUAGCCUAAAAGCAGUAGUGUGAUAUAUAAUGUGACAUAAUGGAUUUUAAUUAUGUUUGGGCCAUACCAUGGCAGACAAAACUGCUAUUAUCCUCAAUGGAAACCAGAUUAAUAGGUAAAAAUUUUCAUGAAUGUUUUUUCCCUCUAUGUUCGACACUUUCAGUUGUUCUGUGUUUGAAAAUUCUUACCUUAUAGUACAUUAAAUUAUAAAGCCUACAUGCAAAUUUACCUUUGAAGAAUACUAUUUAGGUUACAAAGUGAAGCUCUCUAAAGAAGUCAGGUGGUGCUGAACUUCAAUGUAUUUUUGCAAUAAAAUAGUGAGCAAACUCUUGUAAGAGCUGUGUUUGUUCACAGUCACUGUGUAUCUUCACUGUGCUCCUACCACAGUGCUGCC
ensembl:lncRNA